GUUUUUGUGUGGACGUCAGUUUUCAACUGCUUUGGGUAUAUAACAAGGAGCACGAUCACUGGAUUGUAUGGUAAGAGUAUGUUUAGUUUUGUAAGAAACUGCCAAACUGUCUUCCAAAGUGGUUGCAGUGCAUGUUGCCUCACCAUCGGUGACAUAUGAGAGUUCCUGUUGCUCCACAUCCUUGCUAGCAUUUGGUGUUGUCAAACUUUAGCCAUUCUAAUAGUUGUGUAAAGGCAUCUCAUUG
rnacentral:lncRNA from 10 species